CAGCUAUGUGAAGCGGCCACGCAUCAACAAAAGAGUACCCUGUUCCAAACAUUUUUUGGCUCCAUUUUGACUGAUUUUCUGGCACAAGUGCCUGCCUUUCAAUAUCAGUAUCCUGUCAUCACAGAUGUUAAUAUCUAGGUAUGUGUCCUUUAUUUACUGCAAAUUAUUCACUUAUAUUUUUGAAUACCUAUGAUCUUCUUAAGGUUGUACCAAAUGAUAAAAUGUAUGAUAAGGAAUGGAAUGAAGUAAAUUAAGCAUGAUAGGAUAAUUAUAGGAUGUCAGAUGAUAAAUAUACAAUUUUAGGUGGAAAAAAAUGAUGGGAGUCUGUCAAUAUGUGUGUUUGAACCUGUCUCGGUAAUUUUAAAAUAUAAUAAAGGAAACCCAAUCACCAACAUGAUUUCUAAUUUAUUUAAAACUCAAAGUUGGGACUUCUCUCCAAACAAGUGUCUAUGUUGAAUCAUAUUAAUUUUAGCAAGAAGUGCAUGUUGUAGCUAACUAUGUAUCUUAAUAUAUUAAUAUCUUAAAUUUGUAGACUCAAGCUCUGAUUUUCAAAUGAAAAAUUGCCGUCAAAUUUUGUUCAAAUCCUAAUUUCAAAAGGGAAGAACACCCUCAAAUUGUGUAGUUUUAUUUUUAUAACUGAGAAUAUGAAUAUGAAAUAUAGCUGAUUUUGAAAGCAACAACGUACUUCCCUAUCUUCUUUCAGUCACAGUCCUGAUUGAUUUGGCUUAUAAUCCUUAUAUAGACUUCUCCUCCACAACACUCUGUAUAGUAAGUUUGGGUUCAGUUUUAUUUUGCAUUAGUUCUUGAUUAAUAGGCACUGUUGAGAGUAAAUAAUAAAUAUUCUUUUUAUCCUUUAGUAGUACUACCAAUGAUGAAAGUGGACUGUCAUUGUCUCCGUAAAUAAAUUUUGGCUAGACAGUUUCAAUGUAACAAACAAUAUCCUUUAAAUCAGGUGUAAGAAAAAUGAAUUAGUUGGUAGUUAAAAAAAUGCUUAGUUUGAUAAAAAGAAUUACUCAUAAUGUAAGUUAAAUAAUUUAAGGUGGCUUCUUUAGGAAUUUAAAUGAGAUGUUACUUUUUUUACUUUUAUUGUGUAUAUGUUUGAAUUCCUAAACAUGCUUUGUGGAAUAAAAAGAUAUCUAUUUAUUAUUUUAAGGACUUUAAAUUUUUCUAUUGUAAGGUUUAAACUGCAUAUGUGAAUUAAGUAGUUUUUGAUGAUUUUGAAGUUUGAUUCUACAAACUCAAAUUAAGGUGCGAUUCUUAGAGUUUCACAUAUUAAUGUCGGCAAAUUCAGAACGGGCAAAUUGAGCGGAGUGAUUGAAGGCAGCAAAUUGAACUGAGAUAAAGGGCACAUAGUCAGUGUCUCUGAGGAAGGCAGACUUACAAAGGGAGGUUGAGAGAAUAGAUGCUAAGGUAAAGAUGGAGAAACUUUAGAUUAUAUCUUUAGAAAGAUCAAACAUAGGACAAAAGUAAAAGAAAGAAUAAAACAUCAAAUUUUAGGACAUAAAAAAUGCCUUCUUUAUUUGCAUCAUGUGUGCAGAAUAUGCUAGAGUGAAGGAAUCUAUCAUGUUCGGAACAUGGAAUGUAAGAGGAGACAAUCAUUAUAAGUAUUUGUCUUUUUUCAUUUGUUGUUUUUAGUGUUAUUUUUACCUUUAAAAAAUUUGUGCUGUGUAUGUUUAAAUUUUUUUGGAUUCCUAAUUUUAUUUAUUUAAUAUAUAUCAAUUUUUGAAUUAUUUUGUUUUAUCACUUGAAAAACAAAAUACGGGGCAGGUGGUAAUUUUUUUUUUUUCAAUUUUUCUUGUUUACUAUGAAAAAAAUGUGAAUAAAAUAAUAGCACUUGCAAUGCUUGGUAAGAUAUUUUAGCGGUCAAUAAAUUUGGUUAUAAUAUGUUAUUUUAAAUGCUAUUUUACUACAUCAAUUGUGUAUUUGUAUUUGUUUGAGUUUAUAGGGAGUGGAUCCUCUCCAGUGAAUAAAAAACUGGAUGGUGUGCAGUGUUUAAUCUAACCAUUCACCACAUUCUCUCUCUUAUUUAUUUCUGGUCCCACUAUUAAAAUCAAAGGUGAGAGAUUGCACUGUAUUUUGUCAAGUGUUGAAAAAACUGGAGAGGAUCCAUUUCCGAG